AACUAGAUUCGAGACAGAACAAGAGUUUUCCUCCACACAGUUAACUCCAGAUAGCCCACCAUCAGAUUUUGGAAGACUAUUGUACCUGGGAAAGAAGCACAUCCAAAGAGAGGUGCAAUCACACCUGCUGGAGCUUAGAGAGAAGAGGAAUGCUUGGCACAUACCAAGAUCAGGCUGGAAGUGCCCUUUCUGAUUUUAAUUCCGGUUAGCAUCCAAAAAGGAAUUAGUGGAAGGUUUUUGCCAGCUGAGGCUCACGAUCCUAAGCGGGAGCUCCAGCAUGGUCCUAAAGCCUGGAGUGAUCUUCCUUCCCUCCUAAAGCAGAGCUGGGGUUCAGCGUAGGCUGCUGGCAUGCAGCGUGUUCACAUCCAUGUGGGAUGGCAUCUUCCUGGGCUCAGUCCCUACCCCAGACCCAACGUGUAGGCAAAAAGGGAGAGCUGGGCAGACCUUCCUGAUCCUCUCUCAAGGGGGAGCAGAUCUUUCUACCCUGAGAACAGCACAACAGGACUUGGCUGACCACUUGAGACACAAAGGUUUCCAUGGGGGCAGACAGGACAUGGCACAAUCAGGUGUCAGGAGAAUUGGGUGUGCUGAGCCAUGGGCAAAACCAGGCUGUCACAAGCAAGACCUGCAAAAGGCCAUGAAUUUCACGACCUCUACUGCUGCCAGGUUAUAGAGCCAGGGAUUGCCUGCAGAAGAUCUCAUGAAGAUCCAUCCAGAUGCCAUGUGUAUACAAACCUACCUGAAGACCUACUGCUGGUGGAUCCAAUGCCCCUGUGCUAAAGAUGGAAGCCUAGCUUGGAGGCAAAGUGCAUGGGGUGGUGGCCAGACAUCCACAAGGAUACGUCACAAAGGAAAGCUGGGACUGUGAUUUGGGAGCUUGAAGUCAAUACUUGAAUCAUCAGCGUGGACCAAGUUGAAGCUUGUUCAUGAGAAAAUCUGAUUAAACAUAGAG
ensembl:lncRNA